CCAUCUACUUCCGGACCAUGGGUGCCGGUGGGAAACGGAAGCCGCAGAAAGCGGAUCGGCGGAUAAGCGGGGAAUAUUGAAUGUGAGGCUCUCUUGAACUAUAAAGUGGAUCUCAACAAGGCGAGCAGCGAACGAGCAACCGUCAGCUCCUGACAUCAGCCCCCAUAGACUCAUGUUUGAGACCUGAGGAGGCAAAACCUGAUGGAAGAAUUUUCCUGAGAAGCUCUGUGAGGCUGGAGGCAGGUCCCAUAAUGCCUGGGACCUGGUGACCAAGUAGGACAGCCAGGGCAUCUUUGGUGAUCAUUUCCUGACAGAGCAGUGCUGGGAGCUGCCUGGGGAAUUUAUCUUUCUUGUCUUUGACCUUGUUUUAUCACGAGACUGCUAGUGGUCAAAUGAUAAAGAUGAGGAAGCUGAAGCUCAGAGAGUUUGGAUAAUCUGCCCAAAGUCACACAUGCAUCAGUGAUAAAGCCAACAUCAAGCCUGGAUCCUUUCUGAGCUGUUAACCAUCUCAUAGGGCUAUCUCACAUCCCAACAAAGGAAAAGGGACUGGGCUUGUUGUGUGACUUCUCAUGAGUAUAAUUAGGAACACAGAAGAGAGAUUCAGGGACACAAAUAUCAGCUCAACACUGGAAAGAUUCAUCUCAGAAAAAUCAAAGCUGUCCAACUGUGGGAUGGAUUACCUUGGAAGAUAAUGAAUGCCCCUCUAUACAUUUAAUGUAGGUUCAGUGACAUUCAACAGUGAUGUCAGAAGGAUCUCAAACUUCAGUGUGUAUCAGAAUCCCCUGGGAGAGCUUUAUCAAACACAGUUGCCAUGCUCCACCUCCAGAGAUACUGAUUUAGGUGUCCUGAGAUGAUUAGAUUCGUGAAUUUACAGUUCUAUCAGGCUCCCAGUCAAUGCCAGUGCUGUUUGUCCAUGAUCACAUACUGAGAUCCCUUCAAACCCUAAAUGUCUAUUACUUUUUAAAAAUCAUACUCCAUAGACUGGACAAAUUUUGUGUCCUUCACAACCUCUCUCACAGAAUGGCAGCCAUAAUGCCCCUAAACCAUACAACAAGGUUUGUUUCUUUGUUUUUUCCUAUUCAAGUUACCAGUCAGUAGAAUGUCCUACAUCUUUUAAAAUAGACUUUUAUAGCUAUUGUUUUUUAUUAAUUCCCAGAGUUUGCUAAUAUACUAGAGACAGGUCUUUUGGGGUUUUGUUGUUGUUGUUGUUGUUGUUGUUGUUUAGAAACUCACCUAUAUUUCUGAUGGAGAGAGGAUGAAUACAAGCAAACUUCAUUAAAUUGUGAGACAAGAGUCUGAUAAAUCUUAGCAUGUUCAGACUAUCCAAGAGGAAAUGUACUUUUCUAAUAUGAUUCACUCUUCAGCUGUCUAGCUCAAUUUGGAAUGGGAAGUGGAAAUGCUAUUGCUUGCCAAGAAAUAAGGACGAUGGCCAUAUGUUAUAAACUAUGCUUUGUUAUUGUCAAUAUUGGCAAACUUAGCAUUAAGUAGUGUUAAUUUUUCAGAACUUCUGAACUCUGUUCAUGUUUACCUUAAGGGCAGCUUUUCCCCCCACUUUCUGAUGAAGUUAAAAUCGCCAAGUGUUUUUAAAGUAGGCCAAAACACUCCAAAAUCAAAUAUUAAGAAAAAAGAAUAGCUUUCUGUGGACUGCCCCACUGGCCCUCUGCUUUCUGGAAGGCAGCUGAUACAAGGCCCACAGCUGCUUGACACCUAGCAUUGUCCCCAGCCAACCUGAACAGCCAGCAUCUCCAUAUAAGAAGCACAAGUGGCUUUGAAGGUGAUAAGAUAGAGUUUCACUGCUGUAUUUUAUGACAUAAUUCAGUCGGUGUUUCUUUACAGAGUGCCACUGGCUGCCUAACUUUAAACAGUCAUAAACAUUUGAUUGUAGAGUAAUUUAAUUUAAUGAUUUAUUUGAUCUUCAAAUCACAAGAGGCUGUUCUCAAAACACUUUGUUGCCAUGCUGAUCCUCUCUUAACCUACAGGAUUAAUAAUUGAUAUUGAAAUACAGUUGGAAAAAAAAUUGACAAUGAACUUCUUUCUAAAGGAAACAACACCUGGAUGAAAUAGAAGAUUUAUACAAUGACUCCCCUAGAUAACAAAUACCUCUAUGUGAACAAACUUUUAAAAUCACAGGCAUUUUGGAUUGAAAUCUUUCUACAGUGUCUCACCUGCUUUCUUACCAUCUUAAACAAAGUAAUAGAACAUACUUAAACAUCCUCUGGUAAAUCAACAUAAUCCUUAUAAACAAGUAUAAUUCUGUAGUAUAACCAAAUAGUAUUCUCAGAGGGCACGGUCAAGAUUUGAUCAACAUUUUGCCUCUAAAAUGCCUUCAGAAACAUAUACCAUGUUAGUCUUUCAUUGAAUUUUUAUAGUAUUACACUUUGCUUUUCACUUAAAUGUACUGACCACAAUUAAUUUUUCCUUGCCCUUAAAUUUGCUGUUAAAUUUGCUGUGCACUAGAAAUCGAGGUUACUAAAUUUACUGGAAGUGUGUACAAUGGGUAAGGGGAGUCUUUGUGAGAAUUGUCUGUGGCAGCUACUGUGUAUAGAACUUGUGCCAUAAAUUUUCGCUUCUUAAGGAGUUUAUUUUUAAUUAUUCCUGCUUCUUUUCUAUUAUCCUAUAAAUCAGGUUGCCA